rnacentral:lncRNA from 1 species
AAUUAUGUGCUUGUAUGAAGAUGCACAUACAUGCUUUUCAAUAACUAUAAUUUGAUCCAUUAAGCAUUGGAGGUCGAUCAAUAGAAUAACCUUCAUUAAGCAAAGAUUUUAUUUGGAUUGUCAUGAUCUUUUACUCCUAGACCACUAGAUCAACAAUAAAUAACAGAGCACCUGCUCUGAUAUCACUUAUUGCCCAGAGAUAGCAACCCA